rnacentral:rRNA from 1 species
AACGAACGCUGGCGGCAUGCCUAACACAUGCCAGUCGAACGAAGGCUUCGGCCUUAGUGGCGCACGGGUGCGUAACGCGUGGGAAUCUGCCCUUUGCUUCGGAAUAACAGUUAGAAAUGACUGCUAAUACCGGAUGAUGUCGCAAGACCAAAGAUUUAUCGGCAAAGGAUGAGCCCGCGUAGGAUUAGCUAGUUGGUGGGGUAAAGGCCUACCAAGGCGACGAUCCUUAGCUGGUCUGGGAGGAUGAUCAGCCACACUGGGACUGAGACACGGCCCAGACUCCUACGGGAGGCAGCAGUGGGGAAUAUUGGACAAUGGGCGAAAGCCUGAUCCAGCAAUGCCGCGUGAGUGAUGAAGGCCUUAGGGUUGUAAAGCUCUUUUACCCGGGAUGAUAAUGACAGUACCGGGAGAAUAAGCGCCGGCUAACUCCGUG